CUUAUACUCCUUCCGUCCAACAAAAGAUGUCUUAAGCUUGUCAAAAUUUGGAUGUAUGUAGAUAUGACUUAGUGUAUAGAUGCAUUCAAAUUUGGUCAAACUUGAGACAUUAUUUGUUGGACGGAGGAAGUAGAAA
rfam:Brachypodium distachyon strain Bd21 chromosome 1, whole genome shotgun sequence.